CGAGUGAACUAGCUAACUGAAAUCCUUGAUGUGUCAUCGAGGAUAACGUAAGGGAAAAUAAUGAUAUUACCUUACUAGCAGUGUCGUCCAAGUGCUCGUGCCAGAAGACUCGGUAAGGCGAGAGACGCAAACGUUAUUCGUCUUGAUCAGGCGUAAAGGGUUUGUAGGCGGCUUUAAGUAUCCAAUUUUAAUUUUACCAUUUUAAGAUUAUUUUUAAUAACGUUAAAAUACUUAAGAAAUAACCUAAAGACGAUGUUAACACGAAAACCAUUCCGCCUUGUGAGUACGACUGCAAAGUUGAAAACCAAAAAAUUAGUCGGUUUCGGACACAUCGAAGUGAAGCAU
rnacentral:rRNA from 1 species